UAGGGAAUCUUCGGCAAUGGACGAAAGUCUGACCGAGCAACGCCGCGUGAGUGAAGAAUGUUUUCGGAUCGUAAAACUCUGUUGUUAGAGAAGAACAAGGACGUUAGUAACUGAACGUCCCCUGACGGUAUCUAACCAGAAAGCCACGGCUAACUACGUGCCAGCAGCCGCGGUAAUACGUAGGUGGCAAGCGUUGUCCGGAUUUAUUGGGUGUAAAGCGGGCGCAGGCGGUUUCUUAAGUCUGAUGUGAAAGCCCCCGGCUCAACCGGGGGGGGUCAUUAGAAACUGAGAGACUUGAGUGGAGAAGAGGGGAGUGGAAUUCCAUGUGUGGCGGUGAAAAGCGUAGAUAUAAGGCGGAACACCAGUGGCGAAGGCGGCUCUAUGGACUGUAACUGACGCUGAGGCUCGAAAGAGUGGGGAGCAAACAGG
rnacentral:rRNA from 1 species